GGCGUGUGUUCGAUCAGAAGAAGAGAAAGAAAGGGGUCAAACCCUAGAACACCAAAAUCUAUCAAAUUGAAAGGGGAAUUGAAGCCUAGUUGAAUGCAUGAACUAAGAAUGAUGAUCAUCUAAGCAUACCCAACAUCAAGAUAGGAAACCCCAAAUUGGCAUGGACUCAAGUAUGGAAGGCUAACAGAUCAAGAGGAAAUGAGGAAGCUAUGCACAAACUUGGAUGCACGAGGUACCAUACGGAUUUCUUCUUCUACUA